rnacentral:misc_RNA from 1 species
CCGGAAGAAAUUCGCCUGACGAACACGAACAGACCGAGGACAACUUGGUAAACCGAAGUUCCAGUCAGGAAUACGUAGAGUCAACAGUCGUCCAAUAUAUAUUCGACCUGGUGAACUCGUACGGUCUGGCGUUAGGACUCGGUAAAUAAACUCUGGUAAAUAAAGCUACCUCUAGUUCGCAUCCUCGCGAGCCGGUGAAGUGCUCCUUCUCGCUGCACGAGUGCCCACCACCGCACAGUCUGCUGCACCCUCUUCUUGGGCUACCCCCGCCACUCAACCAGAAUUUUAUGGGGAUUCCGUUAAUGGGACCGGCGGGCAGAGCCCUGCAAUUGCCUUCUCUUUUUCUGACGUUCCGUGGAAUACCAAGCCGUGAAACGUCCACUUGAAUGGGAUACGU